AAAAGAUCAGUAAAGAGGAUCUAAAGCAAAGAACUCUGAAAGAGGAGGCCAUGUUCCAACAUGAGAACUUCACAGAGGAGGUGAAAGACAUCUGUAGACUCUUCUUAGAAAAGAAACCAGAACAACGCUUAGGAAGCAGGCCUCGAGAGCCAACCCAGGGCCUUGCAUAUGCUAGGCAAGGGCUCUACCCCUGAGAUACAUCCCCAGCUCCAGCCUGAUUUUUUUGUAAAUAGCCAAACCAAAUUCAUCUGUAGUAACUUUCAAAACACAACCAAUGACCAAACUAGUAUUUUGAAAUUAG
rnacentral:lncRNA from 1 species